rnacentral:rRNA from 1 species
GUAGGUGGCAAGCGUUGUCCGGAAUUAUUGGGCGUAAAGCGCGCGCAGGUGGUUCUUUAAGUCUGAUGUGAAAGCCCCCGGGCUCAACCGGGGAGGGUCAUUGGAAACUGGGGAACUUGAGUGCAGGAGAGGAAAGUGGAAUUCCACGUGUAGCGGUGAAAUGCGUAGAUAUGUGGAGGAACACCAGUGGCGAAGGCGACUUUCUGGCCUGUAACUGACACUGAGGCGCGAAAGCGUGGGGAGCAAACAGGAUUAGAUACCCUGUAGUCCACGCCGUAAACGAUGAGUGCUAAGUGUUGGGGGGUUUCCGCCCCUCAGUGCUGCAGCUAACGCAUUAAGCACUCCGCCUGGGGAGUACGGUCGCAAAGACUG